rnacentral:rRNA from 1 species
AUUGAACGCUGGCGGAAUGCUUUACACAUGCAAGUCGAACGGCAGCACGGACUUCGGUCUGGUGGCGAGUGGCGAACGGGUGAGUAAUGUAUCGGAACGUGCCCAGUCGUGGGGGAUAACGUAGUGAAAAUUACGCUAAUACCGCAUACGAUAUAUGGAUGAAAGCGGGGGAUCGCAAGACCUCGCGCGAUUGGAGCGGCCGAUAUCAGAUUAGGUAGUUGGUGGGGUAAAGGCCCACCAAGCCAACGAUCUGUAGCUGGUCUGAGAGGACGACCAGCCACACUGGAACUGAGACACGGUCCAGACUCCUACGGGAGGCAGCAGUGGGGAAUUUUGGACAAUGGGCGAAAGCCUGAUCCGGCCAUUCCGCGUGCAGGAUGAAGGCCCUCGGGUUGUAAACUGCUUUUGUACAGAACGAAAAGGUUUCUACUAAUACUAGGAGCUCAUGACGGUACUGUAAGAAUAAGCACCGGCUAACUACGUGCCAGCAGCCGCGGUAA